rnacentral:rRNA from 1 species
UUCAACGGCCGCGGUAUUUUGACCGUGCAAAGGUAGCGUAAUCACUUGUCUUUUAAAUAAAGACUAGUAUGAACGGCAUCACGAGAACUAAUCUGUCUCCCUCCCCUAAUCAGUGAACCUGAUCUCCCCGUGCAGAAGCGGGGAUAGUAGCAUAAGACGAGAAGACCCUGUGGAGCUUAAAAUCAAAAUUAACUGCCUUGAACAACAAGAAAACAUUAAUGCAAUUUUAACUUAGAUUUUUAGCUGGGGCGCCUGUGGAGAAAAAAAAAUCCUCCAUGAAUUUCCAUGCCAAGGGUUAUUACCCUAAGCAUUAAUAUACUUAACUAAAUUGACCCAAAUUUUUUGAUCAACGGACCAAGUUACCCCAGGGAUAACAGCGCAAUCCACUUUUAGAGUUCCUAUCGACAAGUGGGCUUACGACCUCGAUGUUGGAUCAGGGCAUCCUAGUGGUGUAGCCGCUACUAAAGGUUUGUUUGUUCAACAAUUAAAG